GACGAACGCUGGCGGCGUGCUUAACACAUGCAAGUCGAACGAAGAGCGAUGGAAUCUUGCUUCUAUCAAUCCUAGUGGCGAACGGGUGAGUAACGCGUAACCAACCUGCCCUUCAGAGGGGGACAACAGUUGGAAACGACUGCUAAUACCGCAUACGAUCUAAUCUCGGCAUCGAGGAUAGAUGAAAGGUGGCCUCUACAUGUAAGCUAUCACUGAAGGAGGGGAUUGCGUCUGAUUAGCUAGUUGGAGGGGUAACGGCCCACCAAGGCGAUGAUCAGUAGCCGGUCUGAGAGGAUGAACGGCCACAUUGGGACUGAGACACGGCCCAGACUCCUACGGGAGGCAGCAGUGGGGAAUCUUCCGCAAUGGACGAAAGUCUGACGGAGCAACGCCGCGUGAGUGAUGACGGCCUUCGGGUUGUAAAGCUCUGUUAAUCGGGACGAAAGGCCUUCUUGCGAAUAGUGAGAAGGAUUGACGGUACCGGAAUAGAAAGCCACGGCUAACUACGUG
rnacentral:rRNA from 1 species